AUUGAACGCUAGCGGGAUGCUUUACACAUGCAAGUCGAACGAGUGGCGGACGGGUGAGUAAUAUAUCGGAAAGUGCCCAGUAGAGGGGGAUAACUACUCGAAAGGGUGGCUAAUACCGCAUACCAUCGGAGCGGCCGAUAUGGGAUUAGCUAGUUGGUGGGGUAAAGGCUCACCAAGACGACGAUCCGUAGCUGGUGUGAGAGGACGACCAGCCACACUGGGACUGAGACACGGCCCAGACUCCUACGGGAGGCAGCAGUGGGGAAGUUUGGACAAUGGGGGAAACCCUGAUCCAGCCAUCCCGCGUGUAUGAGAAGGCCUUCGGGUUGUAAAGUACUUUUGGCAGAGAAGCGGUAUCCGCAGAAUAAGCACCGGCUAACUACGUGCCAGCAGCCGCGGUAAUAC
rnacentral:rRNA from 1 species